rnacentral:rRNA from 1 species
GUCCACGCCCUAAACGGUGGGUACUAGGUGUAGGGCUCGUAAGGGUUCUGUGCCGAAGGGAAACCAUUAAGUACCCCGCCUGGGAAGUACGGCCGCAAGGUUGAAACUCAAAGGAAUUGACGGGGGCCCGCACAAGCGGUGGAGCAUGUGGUUUAAUUCGACGCAACGCGAAGAACCUUACCUAGGUUUGAAAUCCUGAGAAUCUUCCGGAAAUGGAGGAGUGCCCUUCGGGGAAUUCAGUGACAGGUGCUGCAUGGCUGUCGU